CCUACGGGGGGCAGCAGUGAGGAAUAUUGGUCAAUGGCCGGAAGGCUGAACCAGCCAAGCCGCGUGAAGGACGAAGGUGCCAAGCAUUGUAAACUUCUUUUGUCAAGGGACAAAAUCAGGCUCGAGAGCCUGACCGAGGGUACUUGAAGAAAAAGCAUCGCCUAACUCCGUGCCAGCAGCCGCGGUAUUACGGAGGAUGCGAGCGUUAUCCGGAUUUAUUGGGGUUAAGGGGUGCGUAGGCGGGCUUUUAAGUCAGCGGUAAAAGCCCGGGGCUCACCCCCGGCGAGCCGUUGAAACUGGCUGUCUUGAGAGGACGAAGGGUAGGCGGAAUGCGCAGUGUAGCGGUGAAAUGCUUAGAUAUUGCGAAGAACUCCGAUUGCGAAGGCAGGAUACCGGCGGCGAUCUGACGCUGAGGCACGAAAGCGUGGGUAUCGAACAGGAUUAGAUACCCGAGUAGUC
rnacentral:rRNA from 1 species